rnacentral:rRNA from 1 species
GAUGAACGCUGGCGGCGUGCUUAACACAUGCAAGUCGAACGAAGCACUUUAUUUGAUUUCCUUCGGGACUGAUUAUUUUGUGACUGAGUGGCGGACGGGUGAGUAACGCGUGGGUAACCUGCCUUGUACAGGGGGAUAACAGUUGGAAACGGCUGCUAAUACCGCAUAAGCGCACAGCAUCGCAUGAUGCAGUGUGAAAAACUCCGGUGGUAUAAGAUGGACCCGCGUUGGAUUAGCUAGUUGGUGAGGUAACGGCCCACCAAGGCGACGAUCCAUAGCCGACAUGAGAGGGUGACCGGCCACAUUGGGACUGAGACACGGCCCAAACUCCUACGGGAGGCAGCAGUGGGGAAUAUUGCACAAUGGGCGAAAGCCUGAUGCAGCGACGCCGCGUGAGCGAAGAAGUAUUUCGGUAUGUAAAGCUCUAUCAGCAGGGAAGAUAAUGACGGUACCUGACUAAGAAGCACCGGCUAAAUACGUG